rnacentral:lncRNA from 1 species
GCAAGCUUACCUCUCAAGCUAGCCCAAUGGAGAGGAAGAAGAUGAGAAGAUGAAGCUCCACCUUGCUCUUCUUCUUCUCCACCAUCUCCUUCUCCUCCUUCUUCUUCUUCUUCUUCCCCUUCUUUUCUUUCUCUUCUUCUUCUUUCGUUUAGAGAGAGAGAGGGAUGGUGUUGGGGUUGAAACGGUGAGGGAAAGAGAGAGAGAGAGGUCUUCAUCCACUCUAUACACUCAACCCAUGCACAAAAUGCAUAUAAGUCCCUCAACAAUGCCUCUCUUGGAACAGCCCGAACUGGGCAUUUUCGGGGUUCGGGGACCGGUCUCUGCAUGAGGGACCGGUCCCUUAGAGACCUCCAGCCCAGACUUAGCCAAUUUUCAGCUUCAUCCGUUUUCGCUCCGUUUUCGCUCGUUUUCGUUUGUUUGACCUCCGAUUCUUUUCAAAUCGAACCGAGACUCUCCAAACAUGUUUUCAAACAUGUUUUCAUUAUCUUUCCAUCCUCGCUAAUGCCGGAUUUAGCUCACGGCCCAAGUUAGCGUUUCGGGUUCCGUUUUCGCGCCUAUGCGCACCGAAACGCCCGAUUGCUCCAGAACUUCACCGAACUUCACCGGGACGAUUCAAAUGGCUUUCCAAAGCAACGUACACCAUAACUUCAUAGUUUUUGAAGUCUGGUACCUUACAGUAUGAAUGCCGGUAACUGUGAUCAAAUGAUCGAAUCGUGAUGUAUAUAAAGGUGGCGUGAUGCCUAGACCUGAUGGUCCCCAGAUAGUCAAGAAAUAUAGAAGCCUACUUUAUAUGUCAAGCAAUCAUCUGCCACUAUGCAAGAUAUUAAAAAUAGAUGCCGGAAAUGAUGUAUAUAAAGCCACUUUUGGGCAGAACUGACCAAAAUUACACUGUUACAAUUGUUUAUGUCUUCUAUUAAUUUGGCCUACUAUCCUCCUGGUUUUCGAUGUGCAAUUCUUGCAACCUGCUUUGCAGUGAGUGAAAUGUUGCAUUAUUUGUGUUUUGCAGUGAGUGGAAUGUUGUGUAAUUUGUGUUCUUUCACACCAGUUUCAUAACCACUCUCAUAAGAUCAAGUUGUUAAUGAGCUAUCUUUUCUUCCAUUUGAUUUCCGCAGAUUAAAUAUAGGAGCUACGAUGACAUCAAAAGAGACAAACAGUGGUGGACAAUACCUUUUGUCUCUGACACUCUCCUAAAGAGUAGCUUAGGAAAUACUUUUAAAAUGGUUCUUGGAUCUGAGAGUGUAAAUGCUAGCCAGUUCGUAAAAUCUGCAUUUGGGCAGUUAAAUUCCUUCACAUACGCAUACAUUCAGAAACCUUCCUCUUCUGAUAUUUAUAAUACCGAUAAAUCUAAAGAAUCAGAAAAUUCUACUAAUACUUUGGCUGGCUCAGAGGAAGACAGAGGUAAUGAAUCAAACGUUUUGAAUGUUAGUGGCAGCGAGAAUAGUUCAUUGGAAAGAAAGUGCAAGUCACCUUCUCGAUCAGAUGAGUACUUUUGGAAAGCAUUUACCGACAUAGUCAGCAAAAAUGUCCUCCAAAGGUUUGGAUUUUCUCUUCCUGAGAUUAAAAUGUGGGAUGGAUUUGAUGUACUUAAUAAAUUGGGUUUGCAAUCAAAACAAAUUGCAGAGAAGGAAUAUGUUGAUUUUGGACUAGCAACCCCAGAAAUAAUAGAAAAUAGUGAAAACAAGAAUGAGCUUUCUUCUACUAAAAAGAGCAUUCCAUCUUCACUUUUAGACAUUAAGAAAGUAUCUGCUGAUGUACUAAGUCAAACAGAGACUAUAUUAGGAGCACUGAUGGUUCUCACUGGGACCCUUUCACAACAGAAAAAAAACUCAUCUACUGUGGGAGAAGAAGAGAAUAAAAUAGAUGCUUCUGUGAAUGAAGAACAAGUUCCAGAAUAUGCCAUGAAUAAUGAAGAUUGUAUUGCAACAAAAGAACAGGUGUUAGAUACAAGAAAAGCAGAGGAGAUGAAGCAAUUGUUUUCAAGUGCAGAGAGUGCUAUGGAGGCCUGGGCGAUGCUUGCUACUUCAUUGGGCCGGAGUAGUUUUAUCAAAUCUGAUUUUGAGAAGAUAUGUUUUCUCGAUAAUAUUUCUACGGACACACAGGCAAGUUCUUCAUUUUCAUAACUGUGACCUUGCAAAUGAAGUUAUAUUAUUGCUGGGUAAAUUCUGUAAUUGCAGCUUGACCCUGAGCUACAAUUGUAUCUUUUGCUAUUUAAAACAUUUGAUGCCGACUGACUCGACCAUUUUAACCUUGUUUCAAAUAAACUGAAAUGCAGUUAGUCACUAAAUUGAAACACAAUUAGUCAUUUCACAGGAGAAGGGUAAAAUGGUUGCUCAGAAGAAAAUUUUCACCUAUUGACAGCCAAGGAUGAAAAUUACAAGAUAUAAGAAGUUCAAGGACUGAAGACUUUGUUAAAAGUUUUGGGAUUAAUUAGCUAUAACAAGGACUGUCCAUACAAUUAGCCUUAUUGUUUGGGUAAAUUAAACCAUUAGUCUCUAAUCUAUUCCUUGAGUUGCACUUUGAUCCCUAAAAGUUCUCAAAGUUUAAAAAUCUCCUAUUGUUUAGUCGUGCCAUAAACUAUUAUCGCACAGGGAGUUGGAAUCUACUGUGGCAGGACCACUCACAAUUACUAAGAUUUUUUUCUCAUGCGUGUGAGAGAAAAAUUCCACCCUCAAAUCUCUAAAUUGCAAGGGUUUGUAUUGGUCACAUGGGUAAAAAUGCAUGUGACUUGGCAUUUCGGGUUUUCUAUGGCAAGUGCUUUUCUAUCACAUAUGAUUUACGGGCAUAGAAUAUGUGGCUUGACAUACCACAUCGAUUUCCAUCUUUCUGGGUGGUGGAAGCUGACAGUGGGACAGAUUGAAUUUUACGAGUUUGCAGCCCUAAUCUAAAUUUCAUAGAUCAAAGUGAAAUUUGACUCUAGAUUUGGCUAAUGUGGUAAUUUACAAAUACUGUUUUCACUGAAAAAUAUCUGACAAAUCUGAUGAUGAAAGAGCUGCAGGUGGCUAUUUGGCGUGAUUCUUUGCAGAGAAGGCUUGUGAUUGCUUUCAGAGGAACUGAACAAGUGCGUCAACCUUUUAGAAACCCUUCCUUUUAGUGAAUGGUGAAUGACCAAUUAUUCAAGUAGUUCAAAUAGUAGAUAAUCCGGUUAUCCUCUCUUCUUUUGCAGGCUAAGUGGAAGGAUUUGCUGACUGAUUUAAUGCUUGUCCCCACUGGGUAAAACCUGUUUUGUGAUUCGAUGCUUCCACUUAUAUUGCUAAUUAGAAAAAGUUGGCAAUAAAAUAGAUACAGUGCUGCCUGAACUACUUGAUAGCAUGCCUCUUACCAUUUUCAUCGGCAUAACCCCUCUGAUAGUAGUUGGGGAAAGUUUUCUUUAGAUUUAAUUCUCAAUUUUAUCAGUUAGAAUUUUCAUUAGUGGCCUACAGGUUUCCUUAUUUCUUUUAUUUUGUCAGUUCUUUUCAAUGAAUGUGAAAGGGCGAAAUUUGGAAAAAGUAGUAAUAAACCCAAAAAGAAGUAAUAACCCUCUUCUUAUUUGGUUUGAAAUCUACUGCCAAGGGAUAUUUGGAUAUAAAAAUAUAAUUCAGCGCUCUUGUAUACUUUAGGCUUUCAGAGAGUGGUAAUUUUGUAUCAAUAUCUGUGAACACUCUUUUCAGAGUGGAUGUUAAUUUUGUAUCAACAUCUAUGAACACUCAUGAGCCACAAUGAUGUGUGUUGCGAGUAAACUGAGACUAAUAUGCAUAUUCUUUCUAUUUAGAGAAGUGAAUAUGGAGAUUAAUACGGUUGCCUUCGGCCUGUUGCCAGUACUAGUAAUUUGGGCUGGAGCUUUCUCAUUGAUGUUGGUAGGCCCAUCUUACUUGAGCUAUGCCUAUUGGUGCUAGUAGGUCAAUUGAAGCCUUAGUAUCAGGACACAACUUAAGGUAGUCUCAUAUUAUGGAACCUUCAGAAUACACAUGAAACCUUUUAAAUACAUGCCUCAGCUACAUUCUUCAGAAUACCUAUACUCUCGAAAUGAUAAAAUGCUUGCAAUAAAUCUGGAAGUUCCAAACAUUCACCUGACCUAAACUAUAGUUGAAUCUAUUCAACAAAAUGGUUUCUUUAUUUCCAAACCUUUUCAAUAUUCCCUGUUGUUCUGUGUUGAUAUAUCAUUGAUAUCUUCGAGUGACUAAGCUUGAUUUGCCAUUUGCAGGCUGAACCCUGAGAGACUGGGUGGUGGCUUUAAACAAGAACUUCAAGUUAAAGUCAUAUAUGUUUUCCUGUGUGUUUUUUAUAGCUCUUGCUAAACAUUUCGUUAUCUAUUUUCAUGUUUUAAGAAAGUCUUCAUUUUUGUACAUUCAUCAGGUUCAUAGUGGGUUCUUAAAUGCUUAUGACUCUGUUAGGAAUAGAAUCAUGGCGCUGAUUAAAUUCUCCAUUGGGUAUCUGUAAGUGUUGCUCUAAAAAGUUUAACUUCAUACUGAAUUUCUUCUUGAUUAAUAUCUAGCUGUAAGCCUACAAGAAAAUCAGCGAUCAUAGGUUAUUUCCCUGUAGUUUAAUGUGAAGGUCUUUGCCAAUCAUAAGUUUUAUUUGUCUUACAGACAGGGACUUUACUGACAUGAUUGCUUAGCAUUUGCUAAUAUGAUUCGUUAGCAUUUGCCGAACAGACCUAGACACUGGAGUCGGGAUAUAUAUUUUUUUUGCAUGGUAGCUGUUUAUCUUGCUAGUUCUGUAGACUGUUAGGUGAUUUCUCUAAUUUCAAGCCAUGAAGAGGCGAAAAUUUUCAUGUAUUAAAAUUUCUUUGUGAAUACACUAGUGUAACUUCUGUAUCUACGGAGAAAAAUUCUUUGAUCCUGUUGUGGUAUUAUUUGGUAAAACUUUCAGCACUGCUUAUUUACAAAUAUAUCUGUCAGAUAUCUCAAAUUUUCUUUUUAGUUAAUAUUUCAGGUCCUAUAUGUAAAAUCCGCUAACUAUAAAUAAAGUUUUUUGGUCUUAGGGUUAAUUAGAACCCUAGCCCUUUCUCUAAUUGUCUUCUGCGAAACCCACACAGUAUCAGAGCACUAAUGAACAGAAUAGGGUGAAUUAAUCUCAAAAGAAGAAGAAAAGGAAAGGUCCAAGUGGGUUCUCUUUGAUGAUCGGGCCUCCAAAAAUCCUUGCUGCUCACUCCAGUCCCACUCACCCGAUUCCGCUCACUCUCCAUCAUCAUUGCCAACCAAUCAUCAUCGCUGCUUGGUGAAGGACACGUGAAGGGCUGCCACAACCACCCAUGCAAGGCAUAGGGGAAGUGUGGAGGACUUACAGCGAUAGAAGUGCAUGGGUUUUGCAUCAGCGUUGUGCUGGAUGCUAGAUGGGCGAUGUCACGUCCCAGGCCCUUUUUCAAUAAACUUAUUUUGAAGUCAUUUUUGUUUUGAUUUUGAUUUAUUUAUUUAUUUUUUUUGAGAGGAUGGUAGUAUGCUACCGCUUUGUUCAUUUUAUUUGGAAAUGAACUUAGCUGGAAAUUUGAAGCAACUAUGCUUCGAACUUUGAAUCUCGGGUACGAACCAUCAAGCUUUUUGCCACUUGCGUUAGGGACAGUUGGUUUUCAUUUUGAAAUGGGAGUAUGACGGAAGUUGAUUAAAAUCAUUUAAAAUCUUGCCCGGAUUGUGCAUAAAUUAAAACUGGCACUUCUAUCAUCUUUUCUUUGAUUUAUUAAAAGCUUUGGUUGGGGAUUUUGUCCACUUGAAAUCUCCUUUUUUAAACAAUUUGUUAGUGGGGUCAUUAUGGUACUAAAUCCCUUAAUGAACCUACGAUAAAAGGUAGCUAUGCCAUGGAAGCUCCUAGCUUCGUGGAUAUCUUUUGGUUCAGGCCAGUCUUAUGAUGGUUCUUACUUUUUCUGGGUCUAUCGAAAUACCUUCUAUGAACACAACAUAUCCUAGAAAAAUGACUCAAGGUUGCAUAAAAGUGGGUUUCUUUAAAUCAAGGUUUAAAGUGCCGUCCUAUGCCGUACGGCACGGGGCGACAUAUACUGUGCCACCAAGAAGGCACGGUACAGGGGGGGGUCUCGGACUCCCCUCCAAGCCGCGACACGGACCUGUGUAUCGCACGAGACAAAGCGAUACGCAGGUCCGUGCCACGGCACUGCUGUGCCGGCACACUAUUUUACUAUUAUUUUUUUUUUUACAUUUUGCUUCUUUUUGUUUUGUUCUUUGGGAUACCACGAAGCAUCCUACACCCCCCAAGGACAUUGCAAAUCGAAAAUCUACUUGUUAGGUAAGUCAAACAAAUUAUAAUUUAAUUUUUUUUGUCUAUCAAUAUACGAGCAAAUUUUUAAUUUACAUAUUUGAUCCGUAUCGCAGGGGGCAAAGCCCCCCGCACCCCCUUUGUCGGCCCGAGCCCUCCACUUCCAGCACAUACAUCCAUUUUUUUCAUAAAUUAUUUUACCAAAAUUUAUCGCUUCGCAAAAUUUUUGGCGAAUUAAGGGAAUAAAAUCAAAUUCAAUAAACAAAUUUUGAGGCACAUCAAACAUAAAUUGUUUUGCAUUAGAAGAUUAAAAAUACUGAUAAAAUUAAAAGCUAAAUUAAAUCAGUUGAUACUUAAAUUAAUUUAAUUUAUUUGUCAUAUAAUUUAUUGCUUAAUUUUUUUGAUAGAUCUAAUAUUUUUUGAAAAAAUUAAUGAAAAAAUAAAUUUUUUAAAUACUUUUUAAAAUAAUUUUUUCAAAUGUUUUUAAAACUUAUUUUUUUGUAUUUUAUAAAAAGAAAAACUGUAAUAUGGUCAAAAGAAAAAAAGAAAGAUGUCUUUACAUUUUUAAAAUUCUAAUCUGUAAAAAUUUUUAUUCUUCAUCAUGUGUAGUUGUACUUUACAUAUAAAAUACAAAAAAAUAAUUUUUCAAAUAAUUUAAAAAUUAUUUUAAAAAUUAGUUUUUGUAUUUUAUAAAAGAAAAACUGUAAUAUGGUCAAAAGAAAGAAAGAAAGANGUAAAAAUUUUUAUUCUUCAUCAUGUGUAGUUGUACUUUACAUAUAAAAAAAGCUUACAAGUAUAUUAAUUGAUGAUUAUAGUAAGUUAUAUAUAGCAAAUAUUUAUAAUUAUUUGAUUUAAUCUUUUCAAAUAAUAUUAUAAGAGCUUAUUGGAAUUUGGAACCAAAAAAACUGAAAUAAGUUCGUGCCAAAACGUGUUGGUAGGAGGUCAUACAUAUCCAUUGGCACGCAAGCGUACCAUGUGUCGGCAUGAAAGUGUGCCGGUGUCGUACUGUGCCAGGCAGACAGUGGCAUGCUCUCGUGCCACGACACUUUAAUCCUUGCUUUAAAUGAAUAGAACUUUUUUUUCUUUUCCCAUAACUUCAAAAACUUGCCUAAUGUAUUCUUUUUCGGCACGACUAUAAAUCAGAAUGUCAUCAAAAUACAUGACGAAGAAUUUUCGUAUGAAUAGUCGAAAGAUCCGGUUCAUGAUGUGCUAGGGGGCAUUUGUCAAUCUAAAAGGCAUGACGAGCCAUUCAUAUAAUCCUUUUUCUGUUUUUAAAGUAGUUUUCCACUCGUCCCUUAGUCUAAGACGAAUCUGAUGAUAACCACCACGAAGGUCAAUUUUCAUGAAGAUUGAUGACCCACAUCAUGUCUAUCAUGUCAUCUAGGCGUGAAAAUUGAUGACCACGAAGGUCAAUUACCGUCCCUUUUGUGGGGGUGAGAAGUGUCGAGGCUGUCCAAGAACUUAUUCCCGCACAAACCCUUUUCUAAUCAAAUCAUCAACGUGACUCUUCAACUCAACAUGUUCUAUUGGAUUCAUCCUAUAAAGUGGCAAAUUAGGUAAGGACGAAUUAGAGACAAGGUUAAUAGCAUGUUGUAUUGCUCUAAGAGGUGGGAGUUUAUCAGGUAAUUCUUCAAGUGUUGAGCCACUAAAUUCAAGAGCAAGUUCUUAAUAGCUAAAUGCGAUGUAGUCGAUUUAGGGGAAAUAGUAAUCUCCUUAGCUACUAAAGCGUAAACAAUGUCAUCUACACAUCUCCUUCAAUCACUCUCCACACUCACGGGAGAGUUUCUAACAAUUCAAUUGCCGACUUUCGCAGCAUAUCACGUCUCUCAUGUCUUGUUUCCUAAGGUCAACCAAAAGUCUAGGGUUUACUAAGUUGCAACGACUUAUUCCUAAGCUCCGAUACCAACUAAAUCUGUCACGCUCGGGGUUACCACCCAAUCUGGACUCGUCAAUAGACCUACUGCGCACACAGGACUUCCUGUGCAUACGAAGAGAAAGCACCUGUAAACAACACGAGCACUACAAGUGCCAGAGCAGAAAUUAAAAGCUGCUAAAACUAAAAGCAAUCCACUAUACAUACAUGCUCCAAAAUUGUACACAGCUAAAUCCAUCAGAUACAACUACAUCUCACAUAAGCUGAAAUAAAAUACAACUAUAACUAUAUGUACAGUGGCCUACCCUCCCCAAAAUCAGCUAACUCGGGUACUCUAGCUGAACCAGCAAGGACAGGCAGGGAUCUGAUUCGCAACUCCCUUACCUCGAUCAGUAGUAGCGACAGGGACGGAGGGCUCUGCAAGAAAAUAAAGUAACAAAGGGCGUGAGAACUACGAUAAACAAGUAGUCCUUAAUGGGUAUCGUCACUAACGCGGACAGUCUACGCACUACGCCUGUGAAAACUAAAAGAAAAAGCUGGGUAAGUAAAAAAGCUAUAAGUAGUAGAGCUGGGAAGAAAUCUAUAGCUACUAUGGAUCUACACUACUAACGUUCAAAUAAAACUGUCGCUAUGAUAAAUGCAUCAACUAUUUAUUGAGCAAACACCACCAACUCAAUCCAUAUGACCGCCUCCAGGGCCGAUCAAGCCUGCGCCAACCUAUUACUACGCACCACCCUCGAGGGUGGCUGGUCUAAGGUAGGUCGCCUGAAAGGCUGCUGCAACACCAACGCGAAAAGGCCUCACUCUGGUGAGGCACUUGGGGGCUACCCAAUCGAGUAAAAAGCGUAGUCUCUUUCGAGCUCGAAUCUGGCUCGUGCAGGUUAAGUCGAAUGCGGAUGAUCAAUUAGAUUAUAAAACGGUGACUCAUGUGCCCCAGGCAUAAUCUGAUGCAAAAUCUGAGGAUUCGGACUACCAUCGACUGAGACGGCACCCUAUUAUAGAGCUUAGUCUAACAACUGCUAUAACAAUCACACUCAGUCCCUCAACAUGAGCGUUAAUCCAUCCUACACUAAUCCACAUGCUCACUACCCUCUAAUAAGGGUGACAAACGAGUAAAAACGGUUAACGAAAAUAAAUGCUAAUGACGGAGCUACGGCGGUAUAGUGCGGAUUUUGUACAUGUUCCAAGUCCAAAUUCAGCAUCUAAAUUCUUCUAUAAUUAUGUUUAGCAUACUCAAAGUCCAUAUUUCAUUAUUAUUCAUGCCAAUCCAAAGAUUUGAAGCUAAACAAUUUAACAUUGAACAACCAUAAUAUACAUGCUGAAAUUUUCGCAAUUUAGUGAAAAUUUCGCGAAUUUGGUAAAUUUAAACCCACCUAGUGCUCUAAUCCGACCUCGGAUCAAGGUGAAAUUUCAUGAGCACCCUCCCUCAGCUCCAAAAUUUUCGGGAAGUGAAGAAGAAUCCAACAAAUCCCUGCUGGAUUUAAGCCGAAUCAAUAAUCAAUGAAAAAAUCUAGCGAAAACCGAUUUGGUUUGAAGAAACUAAAAUUCAGCGACACCCACCUCAAAUCAACUAAUAACACUUAAUUCCCAGGUUCCUAAAACACCGUAAACCAUUCUGAUCACAGUAAUUAACUCCACACAAACCAAUUUUCACAAAAUAAUACCUGCCGCUGCUGUUGAAAUUCUGCUGCUGCUGAAAUUCUUGUUGUUGCUGCUGCUUUUCCUGAUCCGCAGCCAGGGCAGAAGAGAGAGUGGGACAACUUUGAUAGUGUUCUCUGGUUCAUAAGCCAUAGAAAAAGUUCAAUAAUCACCACGAAAUUUCAACAAAAAGGUGGAAUAAAGUUCAAGAACUCAGCUUCAACAAAAAACUAUUUUUUUUUUUUCAGUUGAAGACCUCAAUGAAAACUGAAAUUCAGAAAAAAUUAAUGUUCAAAUCAAUUCAAACGAAGUUCCUAUCAACUCUAGAUGAAGGUAAGAUCACUUUCAACCCUUCAAAAUCUCAGCUACGUAGGUAGAUUAAAAGAAAAUUCAAUUAAAACUCAGCUUGCCCAAAAUUCAGUAUGAAACCAUAAUUCCAGCGACCCUCACCAUUUCAGCAAUUAAACCUAAAUUACCAGAUAAUUUGCUGAAGUAGAACACUUUUCAGGUUCACCUCUUCGCCAAGAAUGUUAGUAACCAAUUCCUCAGCAGUUUGGUUUCGAAAUUCCUUAAAUUCCUACCUUGAACUCUACUGCUGGUGCUGAUUUUGCUGCUGAAACUGCAACUGUUGUUGUUGUAUGUAGUAGUAGCUGCUACGGUUGGCUGCUGCUUCAGCUGCCAACAGAGUAGGAGGAGAAGAACAAGAUGGUAAGGUAGUUCUUAACUUUGCUGCUGCUUCUCUUCUACUUUUGAAGAUGCUUGGCUGCUGCUGCUUCACACCCUGCUCCGGCUGCUGCUUCUCACCUUGCUGCUGGAGCUCUCCGCAGGGAACAAGGCAGCAAGGAGAGGGAGAGUAGAGGGAGAAGAAGAAGAAGAAGAGAAAGAGUAGGAAGUGAAAGAAGGGAAUGAAGGAAUGAUGCAAUUUGCUGAUUACUACAGUCCAAAAAUCCCAUUUAGGGUGGUUGGAAUUAGGUGAGGUGUGCCUAAGGCAUUAGCAACUAGCAAGCAAAUGUGUUCCAGCUAAGGAUAAAUUUCGAUUCGGAAUUAUUUGUGACGUCAAUUUCGCAUCCAAUUCCGACUUGCCCUGACAUUGUCCAGAAGUGUUGAUUAAUUAAGAUCUGUAAUUAUUCCAUCAAAAUAACAUUUUAAUUUCUUUAGAACACUACAUCCUACCUUGGUUGGACAGAUUGAUAAGGCGGACACAAGCUUGACUUUGAUGACCAUGCCGAACAAGACAAGCUUGUGCCCGUCACAUCCACCUGACAAAAGGGAGUUGUUCGCUCUCCGAGUUCAGGUCCAGAAUGAGGUGAUUGAUGCUAUUAUUGAUCUUGGCAGCCAAAGGAACUUGAUCUUGGAGAAUCUAGUUCAAAAGCUGGGUUUGUCGACUACUCCACACCCACACCCACACCCACACCCAUAUCCAUGUCCAUUGGGGUGGAUUACCAGCGACGUCGAGAUGAAGAUCGAUCACCAGUGCAAGGUGAAGUCUGCGGUGACUAAUAUCUACAUAGACGAAAUAGUGUGCGAGAUUGUGUCACUGAACAUUUGCAACCUUAUCUUUGGUUGUCCCUUCCCAUGGGACAGCGAUGCCACCUUUCGUCGUCUCCAGCAGUACCAAUUUGUUAAGGAUGGGCGGAAAUUUUAGUUCGCUAUAAAGGCAUUGUCCGCAACUAUAGACCUAUGGCUCGCCAAGCUAAGAGAAUGAUCAAUGUUUGCCAAAAUUUUGCCUUGCUGGUCAAUCGACCAGUUGAAUCUAAAGAUGCAAAUAACAAGUUGUUAAGUUUUUCGCUUUCGUGCAGGGAAAGGAUUGACGAUGUUGCCAAACUGAUUGGCGAGCACAAGAAGUCCAGGGGUUGCCAUCAAAGUGGGCCAUGGAAAAUGAGAUACAAUUGAUCAGCAACGCUCCAUUAUUGAACCUCGGCAUGUAUCGAGACUUUGUAGUGGAGAAUGCUGCUCGAGAGUGGUGCUAUCAAAACAAGCAGCUUCCCCUGUGGUUCCCCAAUCGUGUUGGUGCCAAAAAAAGACAGCGGGUGAUGAAUGUGUAUCGACUACUGCGUCCUCAACAAAAUUGCCAUCAAGAACCGGUACCCUUUCCCACGAAUUCACGAUCUCCUGGACCAGUUGAAGCAUGCUUUCUACUUCACCAAGCUGGACUUGAAGUCUGGCUAUCACUAGCUCCGGAUUCGGGAGGACAGCACCUGGAAGACCGAGUUCAAGAUGCGGCACCUGCCUGACAUAGCUUAUGCAGUCAGUGUAGUAAAGCAAUAGUUGUAUGAUUCCAAAUUAACUCACUUAGAGGCUCUUAUAUCUUGAGUUAUUUAAUGCCAGCCUCCCGUAGAGGGCCGCUGUUCUCAAGCACUGGUCAUUUAAAUUAAGGCUUUUAUUGAUGCUGAUUGAGCUAGAUGACUUGAUUGCUGAAGAUGAGAAUUUUGCGGGUGGAAACUUGGUCACUUGGCUCAGAAAAAAGCAAACAACAACACAUGAAUGAUGAAGGCAGAAAUUAGGAAUAAAAGAUCCAGUGCAUAAGCUGAGUAUAGAGCUAUGGUGCAUGUACUCUGCGGAUUGCUGUGGCUUGAAAGAUUUAUGUAGAAAUUAGGGAUGAAAGAUUAAGACCUCUAUGUUAUAUUGUGGCAACAAAUAGGGGUGGCAAUCCAGCUCGCUGCUCGCGAGCCAGCUCGUGUUCGGCUCGAAAUGAGCUCGAGAUCGAAUCGCUUGUUUAGUAAACAAGCUGAACACGAGCUAAAUUUUUCAGCUUGUUUAAUAAACGAGCCGAACACGAGCUGGGGUCAGCUCGCUCGUGUUUGGCGCGAUAACAGCUCGAAUACAUAUAUUUUAUAUUUGUAUAGUUUAUUUAAUUUAUAUUUUUAUAUAUAAAUAAAUAAAAAUAUAUAAUAUAUAUUUUUAUUAUUUAAUUUUUAGCAAAAUAAAAAUAUAAAUGCGAGCUUAAUUAUAAAAUUUAUAUGUAAAGUUUCAACUAUUAGAUCAAAGCCUAAUGGAUAAGAUUUUAUAAUUUAUAUAUAUUCAAUCUAAUCCUUUGUAAUUAAUUGUUCGUUGGCCAGCUCGUGAGCCAGCCCGUGUUCGGCUCGUUAAUAAACGAGCCGAACACGAGCUGAAUUUUUCGGCUCGAUACCUUAACGAGCCAGCUCGUGUUCGGCUCAAUUAAUAAACGAGCCGAACACGAGCCGACCUCAGCUCACUCGUGUUCGGCUCGUUUACACCCCUAGUGAUGCAGCAAAUAAACCUUAUUUUAUUUUUGAAUGUAAUUUUCUUUUAUUUUGUAGGUUCGUGUUUGAUUCGGACUUAAAUCAUUUAGUUUUAGUUGAUUUGGCUAACCCAAACCCUUUUCUCCAAUAAACAAAGAAACAAUCCCCAAAAGACCUUUGGAAUUUUCCAAAAACAAAGACCUUUGAAAUUUUCAAAAUUGCUUCGUUUUCUAUGCAUGACUCUUGGGUGAUCGUGUUAUGUUGAAAACGAAAAGACAAUAAUUUAUUAUAGGAGGGCUCUCAACACUAUAAAUACAUGAUUUUUGAAGCCUUAAGUGAGAUAUAUUUGGAUGAAUAGAAAAUCAUAUUCUCACUCUUUAUCCUUGGUGUUCUACUUCCCAGGAAGAUCAUCGACGCUUCUUCCUCGCGCCGAGAUCGUCUUCUUCCUCAACUUGAUCGUUGUCACUUCUUCCUCGUGACAAGAUCGGUUUCUACUUCUACCCCUCCUCUUCUUCUGAGUCACUGUCUCAUCUUCUUCUUCCCCGUUGCCGAAUUUCUACCUGUGGUGCACUGCCCUCCUCGUCGAUUGUGGAUCCCCGCAAUCGUGUGAACGGUGCACUUUUUGUAUCUCUUAUCUCUUGAUACCCUAUUAUCCCCUUUUAAUCUAGCCUUCCACCAUUAUCAAUCAUAUUUGCCAAACAACCAAACCUAAAGUUUUAAGUCCGAUAAAGCCGAAUUUACCUUUUGGAACUAUUAUAUGUAUUUUCAGUUGAUUGUUAUUAUCUCAUAUAUUGAAGGUUUAUCAUCAUCUUAGUAUUACUUCAAUUCGAUUUUAAUUUUUUUCUUGCUGAAAUUUUUGCUUCCUUGCUUAAAGUUCAUCGGAAUUGAUAAAUUGAAUCUAGUUUUAUCUUUAAACAAAAGCAAACUUGAAAACUCAAUUUUGGCAACCUCUCGGUUUGCAUCACCUAGCAACAAGGCAGCUAUUAAUAUUGCACAACCUUGUGCAACAUGACAGAACUAACUAAGCAUCAUGACAGAACUAACUAAGCAUGUUGAACUUGAUAGAAACUUAGGGAGAAGUUGGACAAAGGAAAUAAUCUGCAUUCCUUUUGUGAAAUCGAAAGAUCAACUUGCGGAUAUCCUUAGUAAAGGGUUAAGAAGCACUAUAUUGAAUAACAGUUUGUUUCAAGAUGGCCAUGAGAAACAUUUAUGCUCCAUCUUGAAGAGGAGUGUUAGAUAUCUCAGUUUUACAAUUUAUUAAUAUUUUAGGGUUCUAUAUGUAAAAUCCUCUAACUAUAAAUAAAGUUUUUGGUCUUAAACUUAAUUAGAGUUCUAACCAUUUCUCCAAUUGUGUUCGCUAAAACCCAUAAUAUAUAUUUAAACAACUAAAGUUACUACCUGGGUAGAUGACUAUAUUUUGUAUAUGACAGUGAUGAUGAUGGUAUGGAAGUCCAACCUAAAUGGCAUGUUUAUGUCACGGGACAUAGUUUAGGUGGAGCACUUGCUACCCUUCUUGCUCUUGAACUUUCAUUAAGCAAAUUGGCCAAGUAAGUUAAAUUUAUCUAUUUUUAUUUGAAUUUUGAUAAAUUUUGAUGGAUUAGUUGCAAACUUGGUCCUUGAGGUUUGAACUGGUAUCAAUUUAGUCCUUAAAUUUCAAGUGUAACAAUUUCGUUGAUAAAGUUUCAAUUUCAUCGUGUUCUAAUUUUGUUGUUGAACUUUGAUCUUGAUUUCAUUCGUCUUUAAACUUUGACAUUAGUUUCACUUUCUCUCAUAGGAGUUUUAGUUUUAGUAAAUUGUAAUCAUGGUACUGAGAUGGCGACUUUUGGAUGGUAGACUUCAAGGAUGAAAUUUUCAUAAUUGACUCUGUGAGGAUGAGAUAGAAAUUGAAGUCAAACUACCUGGAUGAAAUUUGUAUUUUACCCAUAAGUACUUCGCACCUAGAGCCAAUGACUUACUGUUGAGAUUCCACUUCAUGCUGAGCUCCAUAUUUCUAAAGCAAUUACUAAACAGGAGGGUUGAAGAGUGUCAUGCCAUACAUGUUAUAGUUUGAAAUGCAAUCAAAAUGUGGAGCAACAAAUCAUUUACCUUCUGUGUUUUUACUAGAAUAGUGAAAAGAUGAACAACUGAAAGCAUAAGUUCAUAAUAUGCACUUCUUUUGAACAACUCUGGUAUAUUAUUGGGAUAAUUUUCUAAUGUGCAUCUUAAUGAUGAUUCCUAGGCAUGGUUUGAUAUCUGUGACAAUGUAUAACUUCGGUUCUCCGAGAGUUGGAAAUAGAAAAUUCGCAGAAGUUUACAAUGCGGUAAUGUCAAAACCAUCAGCACCAUGAAUUUGUUAUAGCACAGAUAAACUCUUUUCCUAGUUGUUCAUGUAGUUUCUUUGGAUGCUUGUGCAGAUGUAAUGUGAAAUCUCUCUGCGUCUUUGAUGAGCUUCUUCAUCUAUGACUUUUGACUUAAUUUGCUUAGUAGGUAUAUUUUUCACAAGGUGAUAGUAAAUGGUGCUAACCAAAUAAUUGCAUUAGCAUUACUGUCACCGACAGGCCUCUUUUGGUAUUGUUUCCACUUUUUCGUUUCUUGAAUACAAUUUUAUGUGACAGUGUGUCUUUAUAUUUAUCUCCUUGGUUUUAGCCAUUUUUGAUUACUGGAGUUGAGCAACCUUCUCUCUUCAACUUCUAGUACUAGAUUGCCAUAAUGAGCAAACAGUCUUUUGAAAGCAUAUACUAACAACUUUUGGGCCUUUGGAUCCUUAGGGUUUACUAGUGAAGUAGUUAGUGGUGGUUAUAGUAUGGAUCCAAGGCCCCCAGAAUUUGGAAGACGAUACUUCCAAUAUAUAUACGUAUAGAACUAGGCUAGAAUACUAUUAAUAGCACCAAGCCAUUGGUGCUAUUAGGUUUUCGGCCCUUGGAUGAAGGCAGAUGCAGUUAGGAUGAUAGUGGUCUCUAGGGUUUAAUAGGUGGUUGGUGGAAUAGUAUGAUCUCAGGGAUGGAAAUGAUCAAAGGGUAGAUCUAACGGCGGAAAACUUGGUAGCAUCAAGUGCUUGGUGCUAUUUAUACUAUUGUAGCCGGACUCUCUCUCUCUCUCUCUCUCCCUCUCUCUCUCUCUCUUUAUAUAUAUAUAUAUAUAUAUAUAUAUAUANAUUUAAAUAUUUUCUUUUGAAUAGAACACAUUUAAAUAUUCCACCACCCAUAACGCAUGUAAGAUUUUUAGAGCUACAUAUACUUGCUAAGAAAGAUCUCUCUCUCUCUCUCUAAACGAGCAAGAGAUUAGGAGAGCAAAAAAGUCAAGAAUAUUAAGUAAAGAAUAUUAAUCUAAAUCUUCAUAGAAUCCAAUCCAGCAAUGCAGUAAUUACUGUUUGAAGUUCUCCUUAUAUAAAAAGUCUCCUGGAGAUACGUACUUGUCCUUUUAUAUAUAUAUAUAUAUAUAUAUAUAUAUAUAUAUAUAUAUAUAUAUAUAUGAAGUUUUGUUGGGCUACAUCGGUAGUAAACGACACGGUUUACUGCCGAUUUGUUUUGUUUUCAUUGAUAGAGUUUUCAAAUCGACGAUCAGCACCGUUGAACAUAAUUUAUACCAUUUCAAUUAUUUAGAAACUGAAUUUUAUGCUUUUCUGAUAUCACUACCAAACAAGGAUUUAGUCAAGUUCAUGGCACUAAAUUACUUAGGUUAAGGGUUUUGUGCUUAGAUGCACUGUACCCUUAUAAUAAAUCAGUGCAUUAGUCAAUUAGAGAAUAAUUUAACUAUUUCUAUAUAUCACGGUUUGAAGUUCCGCCCCGUGUCAUAUGGCACAGGACGGCACGUACCGAGCAUGGGACGGCCCGUGCGGCGGUACCUCGCGGGUAUCGCGUGAGACAACACGAUACUCGCGAGGGUACCACCGGCACGGUUCCAUGCUGUGAGGGUUUUUUUUUUUCUUGUUGCUUUUUUUAUUUUUUAUUUUUUUUUGUUCUUUUGGAGUACCCGAAGCAUCUUGGGUUACCUCCCUCCCUUCUUUUCCUUUUUCUUUUUGGCCUUUGUCUUGAUGCACUUUUUUUUUUAAAAACUUUUUUGCUUUUUUUGCUUUCUUUGUGCCCCGGGUACCCCCCCCCCCCCUUUUUCGCUUCCUUUCUACUUAGUUCUUGCAUAUCUUUCUAAAAUUAUUUUUUUUCUCUCUUUUUUUUUUGUCACUUAAAAAGGAGGCAAAGACAUUGCAAAUUGAAGAUCUACUUGUUAUGUAAGAAAAUUAUAAUUUAAUUUUUUUUUGUUUAUCAAUAUACUUGCAAUCUCCCUUCACUGUUGUUCUGUUCUCUUCACUCUCCCUAAUCCCUUAAUGUUGGAUUAGCAAUGAUGGGCUUACCAGCUAUUUUUCAUAUCCACCGAAGGAAGAGGAAUGCGCCUUAAAUAUCCCUCAAACGGAGACGUCUUGCCUUCCUAUCAUGAGGAAACAGAUCAUAGGGUAGCACAUGGCACUCCCUAGCCUUAGGUUUCACACGUGUGGUUGAAAUGUCUAGAGUGGCAUUAAUCCAGACGGUGUUAAUUGGCCACAUUUAUUGGAUUAUGAAAUCCAAAUCUAACAUAGUUCAACAGUAGUUCUGGUAGUCCUUGCCUGAUUCUAAAUGUGGUAUUACGACUACAAUCUUUUGCCAUUGAAGAUUGAGUACAUUGUGCUUAAUCAGCGCGGAGAGUUUAUUGGAGUUCUAUAUGUAACUUUUAUCUCCAUCGAGCAUGUUGGACCUAAUAGUGUAUCCUUUUAUUAUAUACAGAAAGUGAAAGAUAGCUGGAGAGUCGUCAAUCACAGAGAUAUUAUUCCAACAGUGCCUCGCCUUAUGGGCUAUUGUCAUGUUGCUGAACCUGUUUAUCUGGCAGUUCAUGGUCUAAAGGAGGCGUUGGUAAGUAGAAUCUCAAUCUUAAUAUAAUCAGUUAACUCUUACUCUAGCAUCUAUAGUCGUUGAUUGCACCUCUCUUGUCAGAUUUCAUACCCUUGUAUGCCAUUUCAGAUGAUGUAUUUUGGAUCACAUGAUUAGAUCCAACAAGUGGCUAUUAGUGUCGGACAAUUCGGGACAUUGCGUAUGUUUUUGGAACAACUUAUAUAGAUAAAUAUCAUGUGGAGUUUGUCAAUCAAGUAGUCCAUGUCUGAAUAAUACAGGGACUCUAUUUCAGUACAUGAAAACUAGCAAAUUAUUAGUAGCAACUUGGACAAAGUAUUUUCUAUCAGGUGGUUUAAGCCCAACUAUUCGCUAAUAUUUAACGCUAAUAUUAGUGGCUAGUUGGGUAAUUACAUUAGGAAUUGUCUUUAUAUUAUGUCUUCUAGGCUUUUAUAAUGGGAGCUAUUAUUAUGUUCCAUUCUAAGAUCAUUUUAAGUCCAAUUUGUAGUUAUCAGAGCUUUCUAUGCAUUAUUUAUCAAUGUAUGUUAUGAUGACAGAUGAACAGAGAAGUUUUAAGUGAUGGGUACCAAGGUGACGUGAUAGGAGAAUUCACUCCUGAUCUUCUCGUCAGUGAGUUUGUAAGUCUCAUUCUAUUCCAUUUCCUGUGCCUAAUCCACCUACGUGCAUAAUCAAUCAAUGAUGUAAAUUAAUUGAUUAUUAUAAACUAGCAGUUGAUGAUCCUAUGUUGUAUGGACUUCUAUUUUUGAGCAUGAGUAGUUAUCAGAGUUUGUUGUGAGUUGUUAGAUUACUGUGAACAAAAUGUAGGGGGAAAAAAAUGAACAUUAAGUGAACUAUUGUUAUAUCUUAAACCUAGUUUGAGCAUACGUUUUCUCGAUAUAAUCACUCUUAGAGCUCUGCCACCCUUAUGCUAAUAAAUGGUGGUUUAAACUGCCACAAUUUCGAAGCAACAGAGGGUGAAAGAAAGGACUAUCAGGUUCUUUUGGAGCUCUAUAGUAUUAGAGCAGUUGCAUUUGGAGCACCGAUACUUUCCUUUGAUUGUUACCACCGUGAUUUUGAUCCAUCGAGGGACGAAAGUGAGUUGUUGUAUUUGGGAAACACAAUUUCAAGUUAGGCCUUCAAGAAAUUCAGUGACAAUAUUGUUUAAUAAAUAUUUUAUGCAGAUGAAAGGAGAGAAGCAGCUGGUAGAAAAGAUUCUGCAGACGGAGAUAAAUCUUCUCCGCUCAAUCAGAGAUGGGACUGCUCUUAUGCAGCAUAUGGAAGACUUCUAUUAUGUCGCACUUUUAGAGGUAAUAUUUGCCUUCCAUAAAUACUCUUUCUGUGAAAAAGCUUGUGUGUUAUCUUGAAAUUUGCUCGGAGUUCAGAGGAAAUUAAGCACAGUGUAUUUGAGAAGAAAAAAAUCAAUAUAUUCUGUGGUUUAAUCCAACUCCAUAUUAUCACCUUGAUGUUCAUAGUGCUAAGGCACUUGGCAUCAUUUUUAACACCAUUUUAGUGGGCAGGUUGUUGCAAAUUUAUCUUACUACUCACUCUAAACCUGAUUACAUGGCGGAAGAGUAUUGCAAGCCUUAGCAUGUGAUUUCCGUGUUAUUAUCUGACUAAAGCUAAGGGUUUUGUGCAGAGUGUAAGGUCAAAAUACCAAACAGCCAACGGUGCAAACUCAAGUGAAGGUCCCUCACUGGCUGCAUGAGCCCAAUCAUAACGGGAAAUAUGAAUAUUGUGGCAUCCACCUACCUAUAUCUUGUCCCAAUUCCGAUCGACAGAGCCCACGGACAAAGAAUUUCGCAAGCUGUGGGUGUCUUUGCUACAACAAUUAGCCUUCUUUGUGCUUUUUUUUCUUACAUGAAUUAAAAUGUUCGAAAUAUUCUCAAUAGUGUUUCUCUUCUUUCUUUUCUAUUUGUUGAGGAUUGGUGGGCAAUAUCGACUACCCCCGUAGCGACACUUCCGAAAGGUCUUGGCUCAUAGUGUCUAGAUCCCAACGAGCGAUGCCAUCUAGCAUAUAGUAUUAUUGGACUUUUGCAAGGUUUAGUUACAAUCACAUAUUCAUGGGUUACCAUUUUCAUGUCACUUCAAACGCUUUACGCUAUCGACUUGUUGCCAAUCAUGCAAAUUCAAAUAUCAUCUUUGAAUUCUUAUUAUCUAUUUCGUUGGUCGGAAACCAUGUCCUAUUAUAUUAUUUCGAAUUUUUAUUUUGUAUAUCCGUAUUGAAUGGGGAAAUAUCUUCGACCAAAACUAUUAUUAUUCUGCACGCAGGGACCUUCUGAAUGAGAAAAAAUUAUUAUUAUUAUUAAUUUUUUUUUUGAGAGAUGGGUAGCACGCUGCCCGCUUCGUUUAUUUCAUUUAGAAAUAAACUUAGCUAGAAAUGUGAAUCAGCUGGGAUUCGAACUUGGGUUUCGGAUACUAACCAUCGAGUCCUUUGCCACUUGAUCUAGGGAUAGUCGGUGAAUGAGAAAAGAAAAAAUUACCCUAGGUCGGUGAAUGAGAAAAAAUUAUUAAUCGCGCCAGGUUUCCGACCACCAAAUUUAGCAAAUUGGGAGGAAAAAUGAAUAAAUUUUGAGUUAAAAUAAUUAAUUAAAGAGUACCUUAUUGUUGUAGCUUUUCAGCUACCUCUCGAAGCUGGAGAUCCAUGUUAGGUACAGGAAAGCACCAUUUGACUUUGAACCAAACCUUUUGACCGCCAAAUUGUACUCGAUUGUCUACACCCACUUGUUGUAUUAAUCUAUCCAUGAGAAUGUAUCUUUUGAUGUACCGAAAAUCCACAGGUAUGAAAAUUUGAUUGGAAUCCAGUUUGGUCACUGUUUUUUCCUUUUUUAUUCAGAAAUGUAGCGAAGCUGUAGUGAAAAUGACUAAUUAAGAGAAAUAUUGUUAUUUUGACGAUCGCAACUUGUGUAUGCAUUAAACAAAAUGUUACAUGUAUCCUAUAUAGGACUAAAUCUUUCGUCCUAUCCAUCCUAGGGUCCGCAAAAUUCUUGAGGGUUAAUAGUAUUUAUUAAAAAUAGUUAAUAAGACUAGUUAUAAAUUAUACGCUUUUCGAUGAAUAAAAUAUAAGAUCUACACUUAUACGUGUAGGGUUAUAUUGCUCAACUAAAGUUGAAUAUACGAGGGAAUACGAAAUCUUUUUUUUUCCGUCAUUAAAUUAAGAGAAAAGAGAAAUAAAUAAUUAUGGAUCAUUGAUUCUAAAAUCCUUUGGGCCUUUAAUGACUUCAAAAACGAAAAAAGAAAAAUCCUAUUAUGAUAUUUUAAUGGCAGAGGAAAAAGCAAAGCACCAAUACAUAUACAAAUAAUGUGUAAAUCUCACAGAAUUGAGCUAGAAUAUUUUUAAAAGUAUCAUCCGAUUGGUGCUUUUAGAUUUCUAGCUCUUAGAUCUACUCCUUGAUUACUAAUAGUCAUUAGAUCAAAUACUAUUCCACCUACCACUACUUACCACCAUCAUCAUAACCUUAUAUUCCUCCAUCUAAUGGUUAAAAACUCAAAAACACCACCUCAUUGGUGCUUUUGAGAAUAUUCUAACUCAACUCAAUCUCACAUUACAUCUACAUCUAUCAAAAGACUAAUAUUUUAUCAGUCGUGUUAUUUUUUUAAUACUAACA